rnacentral:rRNA from 1 species
GACGAACCGUGCGAACGUUAUUCGGAAUCAUUGGGCUUAAAGCGCGUGUAGGCGGAUCCGUGCGUCUGUCGCUGAAAUCCCCCGGCUCAACCGGGGAAGUGGCGGGGAUACGACCGGCCUCGAGGGGGGUAGGGGGACCUGGAACUUCCGGUGGAGCGGUGAAAUGCGUUGAGAUCGGAAGGAACGCCCGUGGCGAAAGCGAGGUCCUGGACCCUUUCUGACGCUGAGACGCGAAAGCCAGGGGAGCGAACGGG